GCCGGAAGCCGGGCCACUCUCGCGAGGCCGGGCAGAGGGGAGCCGGGAGGCCCUGUGCGGUGUGGAGGUCGUUGGUGUCACCUGCCAGCCGCCUGCACCUUCUCCUGCCGUUCCGGUCCCCGCCCGCUCCAACUAUGUUCUCCGCGCUCGCCCGCCCUGCGGGCGCCGCUCUCCGCCGCAGCUUCAGCACCUCGGCCCAGAACAAUGCGAAAGUAGCCGUGCUAGGGGCUUCCGGAGGAAUCGGGCAGCCCCUUGCGCUUCUCCUCAAGAACAGUCCCUUGGUGAGCCGCCUGACCCUCUACGAUAUUGCUCAUACGCCCGGAGUGGCCGCCGAUCUGAGCCACAUUGAGACCAGAGCAACCGUGAAAGGCUACCUCGGACCUGAGCAGCUGCCGGAUUGCCUGAAAGGCUGCGAUGUGGUGGUUAUUCCAGCAGGAGUCCCGAGAAAACCAGGCAUGACCCGGGAUGACCUGUUCAACACCAAUGCCUCCAUUGUGGCCACCCUGUCUGCUGCCUGCGCCCAGCACUGCCCCGAGGCCAUGAUCUGCGUCAUUUCCAAUCCGGUGAACUCCACCAUCCCGAUCGCAACGGAAGUUUUCAAGAAACACGGAGUCUACAACCCCAAUAAAAUCUUCGGGGUGACGACCCUGGACAUUGUCAGAGCCAAUACUUUCAUUGCGGAACUGAAGGGUUUGGAUCCCGCUCGAGUCAAUGUUCCUGUCAUUGGCGGCCAUGCUGGGAAGACCAUCAUCCCCCUGAUCUCCCAGUGCACUCCCAAGGUGGACCUUCCCCAGGACCAGCUAACAGCCAUCACUGGGCGGAUCCAAGAGGCCGGCACAGAGGUGGUGAAGGCCAAAGCUGGAGCAGGCUCGGCCACCCUGUCCAUGGCGUACGCCGGAGCCCGCUUUGUCUUCUCCCUUGUGGAUGCGAUGAACGGAAAGGAAGGAGUUGUGGAGUGUUCCUUCGUUAAGUCCCAAGAAGCAGACUGUGCCUAUUUCUCCACCCCGUUACUGCUGGGGAAAAAGGGCAUUGAGAAGAAUCUAGGCAUCGGCAAGAUCUCCUCUUUCGAAGAGAAGAUGAUAGCGGAAGCCAUCCCCGAGCUGAAGGCCUCCAUCAAGAAGGGAGAGGAGUUCGUGAAGAACAUGAAAUGAGGAGGGCAGCCAGCGAGCAGUCCGUUUCCCUAACUUACGAAGGCAUCAUGUCCCUGGUCUCGGCAAAUGUGCUUUCUUCCCCGUUCGAGCUGGCUUCAGAGGGCCUGCCUGUCUGGCGUCUCCAUCGUGAAUCAGAACGAGAUGUUAUUUAAAUAUCAGGCUGACGCAUGAUGGUUUCAUCAGUAGCUUCGACAAAGUCUGAAAAAUGUAUCGGUAGCUGUUCCUCCCAACCCUCCUCUGCACCAUUGCCUCCCUCGGCUCCGUGUCCUCAGUGUCCCGGGGUGACAGUUGGUGGCACAUGCCCAGCCGCCGUUUUCGGUCCCCGGCUCCUCCCAUGUGGUGGUUUCUGGCUCAGCCGACAGCUCUGUCUUCUACAUCGGAGCUGCCUCGUCCAACCUCUGUCCCGCUCCAAAUCUCCUCCUCCCAGACGGGGGCCACCCUAGGCCAGAACUGUGAAGGCUGGAGCGGGGGCUGAAAUGCAG